rnacentral:misc_RNA from 1 species
GAUGAAGAACGUAGCGAAAUGCGAUAAGUAGUGUGAAUUGCAGAAUUCAGUGAAUCAUCGAAUCUUUGAACGCACAUUGCGGCCAUAGGUAUUCCUUUGGCCAUGCCUGUUCGAGCGUCAUUUACACCCUCAAGCCUAGCUUGGUGUUGGGCGUCUGUCCCGCCGUUUUCGCGCGCGGACUCGCCUCAAAGUCAUUGGCGGCGGUCGUGCCGGCCCCCUCGCGCAGCACAUUUGCGCUUCUCGGAGGCCCGGCGGAUCCGCGCUCCAGCAAGACCUUUCACGACUUGACCUCGGAUCAGGCAGGGAUACCCGCUGAACUUAAGCAUAUCAAUAAGCGGAGGA